GAAUGACGCUACGUCCGUCGAACUGUCGGCCAGGACCUUUUCGAAUUCCUGGGAUGGCUGUGCGGCUGU
rnacentral:sRNA from 1 species